GAUGAAGAACGUAGCGAAAUGCGAUAAGUAAUGUGAAUUGCAGAAUUCAGUGAAUCAUCGAAUCUUUGAACGCACCUUGCGCCCUUUGGCAUUCCGAAGGGCACGCCUGUUUGAGUGUCGUGAACUCCUCCACCCUCCACCUUUUUCGGAAGGCGUUGGGCUGGGAUUUGGGAGCUUGCGGGUCCCUGGCCGAUCCGCUCUCCUUGAAUACAUUAGCGAAGCCCUUGCGGCCUUGGUGUGAUAGUCAUCUACGCCUCGGCUUAGCGAACAUAGGGGACUUGCUUCCAACCGUCUCGAAAGGGACAAUUACUACGAACUUGACCUCAAAUCAGGCGGGACUACCCGCUGAACUUAAGCAUAUCAAUAAGCGGAGGA
rnacentral:misc_RNA from 1 species